rnacentral:tRNA from 1 species
GGCGCUAUAGCCAAGUGGUUACGGCGACAGAUUAGAACCAUUGACAAAUCUGUUCCUCUUUGAGGGCGCAGGUUCAAAUCCUGCUGGCGUCG